GGGUAAUUAGCUCAGCGGUAGAGCGCUACCACGACAGGGUAGCGGCCGUUGGUUCGACCCCAACAUUACCCA
rnacentral:tRNA from 1 species